CCCGCCACGUAGUACGUUAUACACUAUGAUGAGAAGCAACUGCAUGAUCUGAAUACCUGGCAGCACCGAUGAAACAGUACGACAGAAAGUCUUAAGUAAAGUGUUUGAAGGUGGCUGUCCUGUGGGUUGUAGCGCCUCGUAGUCUGGUACGGAGGUAUUUGCUGAUGGUGGCAGCAGGGACCUCUGAAAUGUCGGUAAACGUCUACCAGACUACGAGGCGCCACCACCCGCAGGACGUCCGUCUUCGGACCCGCCACUUCAAAUAAAUCCUACUAAUUAAGUAUUUGUACUGAACUGGUGUUUCAUGUAAAGGGAAGACAAACCAUUUUUCUGAAGUAAGCGGCCGAUUUCUGAGCGGUAUACUAGAAUAUUGUAUCUGUUAUAUAUAAGAUUUUCAGUACAGAAUUCUGAUAAGUUUUCCGAAUGUAAUUUUAAUUGUUAGGAUAUAAUUCAUGUGAUAUUAAGCAUAUUUUGAUGUUUCACAAUUAAGUAGCAAAAUUCCAGUUGAAAGAACUGAAGAAGGGUUUGCCGCAAGUAUGUGCGUUUAUUGUGGUCGAAGGCAGACGGACGAGUUGCGGAGAGAUCCCGGUGCGCGUUUAGGUUUGCCCCCUGAAGAUGUGUCUGAAGGGUUGGGAACCCACGUCUCAAGUUUCCUAUUCAUAAGUUUCCCAAACUCUUCAAAAUUUAGCGAUAGAAUAUGGGCUGUUAACUCUUCAACCCGAGGCACAGUUAAUACUGGAAUCAGUGAAGAAGUUGAAAACUGCAGCUGUUGAAGUGCGGCAGAAGAAGAAAUGUAAGAUGACGUAUUCGGAGGCCUCUCGUCUACCACUCCAGUCUUUAGCGGAACUUAUCCCAGAAGAAGUGACGAAGUUCUGUCGUCUUACAUCGAAACUUUAAUCUGCCGUCUUCUUAUUGUUCCACGCGUAUGACAGAGGGAUGGCUAUAUCGGCGAUACGUAGCCGCAGUCCUGAUGAUGGAGUAAAAAGUAGUUUAAAUUCAGCGUAAUGUAAGAGCACCAGUUGACGGAGAAGUCGUAAAUUCCAGAUAUAUUUCCAAAUUACUCAACUCGUGCUGUUAGUCUUAAAUAUUGAAAUGUAGGCAUGUAAAAUACAUUCUGAAGUUUAAUUUAUAUUUAUUACUUUAUACAAGAAUGAGUGUCUGUAAUGAAAAAUGGUGAGUUGUCGCGUUUUGCACCGCUUGAGUUCUGCUUUAGUAGAGUUCGUGUCGUGAAGCUCUCAGUUUGUUUCUCCCUCAAUAAAUAGUAGAGUAGCACCGAAAUUCAAAGAUGUUAUAAUAAAAAGACGGAUGUUCGCUGCGCCAAUAAUUGAAUUUUGCCGUUGUGAAAGGAAUUGGAAUUGUGAACGCUAUUAAGACGAGUAUCUGCAGGGGUUCUCUACGACUUGUAGCUUUAUGUCUGCUUUUAAAUGUGACGGUACCGUAAAGGUAUUUUAAAAUAAUCUUUAUCGUGAAAAGGGAUUUGAGUAUAUGUUCAAUAUGAUGCAUGUCAUUCUGUCUAUUGUCGUUAAUGUGUUGGAAAGUGAUAAACAUGUAUCUAAAUAUACCGAAACUCGACAGAUUCCAGACCCCAAAAUAUCAGAGUUACGGGUUACGAAAUCGGCUCGUGACUCGAGUCGUACUUGAUGCUUGUGUAUUGCUUUUCGUGAAAUUGAGCGUGUCGUGAAGAGAUGAAAAUAGCAAAUUACUGUGGAAAUUAACCCUUUUAGUACUCUGCGCUUGUUUCCGUACUGAUGUCUGUGGGAGACGUCUGAUCUGAAGCUUUCGCGGCAACUAAGUCUGCGAAAUUCUUUGUGGGCUACCAGCCGCGUAAGGUGGUUUGAUGAACGUUUCGAGAACCGUCUUCGUCGUCGUCCUCGGGGUACUUCUAGCACCGUGAGGAUGAGGAAGCCACUUUAUGUGGCGGGUAGCCCCGGAAGAAUUUUAUUAUAUCUGUGGCACAGUCACACUUCUUCGUUUCAGGCUUGUCAAACCGCACUGGAAACCUGAAAUUGGUGUUUACAAGCUUUUUCGAUUAGUUUCGCUUGUAUAGUCAUAAGAUAAGACAAAAAUAAGACGCUUGCAUUAAAAAUACAGUAAUAAGGGAAUCUAGAGUAGUAAAGGAUAAACUCGUAAAAACGUGGUAUGUAAAGGGUUAAUCAACACGUGAGCUUAUAAAUAACUUUGUAUUCAUUUUGAUUCCUGGAUUGUAUUUGUGUCGAAAAUGUAAAAGCGAAAUGACAUUCCUUCAACAAGACUUUGUUGAUAUGCAGAAGAAACGAGCUUUCCAUCCUUAGACGCCUAAGAAAAUACGUAAUCCGUUGUGGGAGGGGGUGAUGACGUUCUGAUUUCUUACGAGUUUGAGCUGUGUCGGCGUUGCAGUAUUUUUAUUUCCACGUGCUUGUGGAUUCACAUGAUUAGUGUAUAAGUACAACACCGAAGAAAACUUGUAGUAUUGUAUUAUUUAAAUUAAUGAUUUGUGCUUAUAUAGAUGUUAAAUAAUAACUUAUACACAAAACAAUUGCUAAUUAUUAUUGAUAUUUGUGAGUUACCAAAUCCCAAUCUGUCACAGGAAUUCUGCGUGGUAAAAUAUGUUGAGACUUCAGAUUCUCGUGGCAGCAGUGUGAAGGUGGUUGCUGUGCCAAGUACUGAUAAAAAUGGGUACUGUGUGGAUUGGGGUUGGUGAAAAAUUGUGUACAUUUAUGGAAAUGUAAAAAUUAUAAGCUUAGUAUGAACCUUCACCUUAACCUAUUGGAAUUCUCAGUAAAUAAAGUACGUAAAUUAUUAUUAACCUUCA